rnacentral:tRNA from 1 species
GGACCGCUAGCUCAACUGGCAGAGCAACUGACUCUUAAUCAGUAGGUUCGGGGUUCGAUUCCCCGGCGGUUCACCA